AAUGAACGUUGGCGGCGUGGAUUAGGCAUGCAAGUCGAGCGAGAAGAUUUAAAAAGAUACUUCGGUUGAUUUUUAAAUUGGACAGCGGCGAAAGGGAGAGUAACGAGUAGAUACGUGCCCGAGGGUCCGGGAUAGCUGCGGGAAACUGCAGGUAAUACCGGAUAAUGUUUCCGAACCAAAGAUUUAUUGCCCUCGGAUCGGUCUGCUUACUAUUAGCUAGUUGGUGGGGUAAUGGCCUACCAAGGCUCAGAUGGUUAGCGGGUGUGAGAGCAUGGCCCGUCUCACUGGGACUGAGACACUGCCCAGACACCUACGGGUGGCUGCAGUCGAGAAUCUUCCGCAAUGGACGAAAGUCUGACGGAGCGACGCCGCGUGAUGGACGAAGGCCCUCGGGUUGUAAACAUCUGUCGUAGGGGAGGAAAUUUUGACCGAACCUCAGAGGAAGUCCGGGCUAAGUUCGUGCCAGCCGCCGCCGUAAU
rnacentral:rRNA from 1 species